ensembl:snRNA U6 U6 spliceosomal RNA
AUCAAUGUUAUGGCGGAUCGGUGUAUACUAACAAUGGAUUGACACAGAGAGGUUUAGCAUGGCCCCAGCACAAAGAUGACACAAAAACAAAAUAGGCUCAUUUCU